GGCGGCGAGGCCGGGGGCUGUGGACCGGCCCGCCGGGGAGGGGCCAGGGAGAGGGGGGCGGCCCCUCGGUCAGCGCGGCCCGGAGGCCAGACCUGGUGCCCAGCUCCCCAGCGGGCGCCUGCCCUGGGCUGUAGUACGGGAGCCUCGGCAGUCUCGGGCGAGAGUUUCGGGAGAGGGUCCCGAGAUCCCGCCUUGCGGGGUUCGGAACCCGGCCCUGGCCCGCGACUCGGACCUACCCCGAGCAGGGCCCCGGUGAGGCCGCGGUGCCCCCGCUUUCAGAGCCCCGCCGCGCGCGGAACCGCAGGAGCAGGACGUCCACCGGCGGUUUGCGAGCGGCGGGCUCGGGAUUCUAGGCUUCUCCUAUUGUGACUAUUUGUAGUUUGUAAGUUUUUUUCUAGUGAACACUGUGGUGCUUUUUCAUUAAGAGCGGCGAUUUUUUCAAGGCGCCUGCAGAAGUUGAGCGGCCCGCCCCCGCAGUGUGAGCGGCCCCUUUCCGGACUGCAGGACUGCGCGUUCCUGGGCCCGGGACCCGGCUCCUCCUCCCUCGGCUCCCCGGCCGGCCCCGCCCCGCCCCCGCCCAUGCCCCGCCCUCCACUCCUGACCCCGCCCCUCCCCCGGCUGCGGCGAAAAUCCGGAGUGGCGGAUUGCCCUCUGCUCCGCGGGAGCCGGCUGUGGGCUCCUGCAGGAGCGGUGCCGGGGGUGCGGCUGACGCCGCUCCGCGCUCCCUCUUCUCACUCUGUCCUGGGCGAGCCACGCGGGGCAGCGCCGCGACCCCAGCCGCCGGCCCUGCCUCAGAAGCGGGUCAGGACCCGACUGAGCAUGCUCGCCCUCCAGCGCAGCGUGGCUCGACCAGGUGGACGCUGCCGGGACCCGGGGUCGGACCGCGCAGGGGAGGCGCAGGUGCGUGGUCCGGCCGCAGGUGCAGGGGACCUGGCUGGAAGGCGGGGGAGGGGCAUCUGGCCUGCAGGCUUGCCAGCCAGCCUGUCCCAGCUCUCCUCCCAGCUCUGCGUCUCUCCAGCUUCCUUCCUAAAUCACCACCACCACCUGCCCUAGGAGUGGAGCCCUUGGGUUGGAGCCAGCUGAUUGGAUGUGAGCUCUAAG
rnacentral:lncRNA from 1 species